ACUCACCAGGUCAGGACACGGUAAGGAUUGACGGACUGAAGGCUCUUUCUCGAUUCCGUGGAAAGUGGUGCAUGGCCGUUUUUGGUUGGUGGAUCGAUCCGUCUGGUUAAUUCCGUUAACGAACGAGACCUCGGCACUCCGAAUAGCGCGGCGGACGUCGCGGCCUCCGGGCCGUCUUCCGCACGAGCUUCUUAGAGGGACCGUCCCCCGCCGGGGAAGGAGGUGCGAGGCAACGACAGGUCUGUGAUGCCCUUAGAUGUUCUGGGCCGCACGCGCAUUACACUGACGCGUCCAACGGGUGACUCCCGACCCGAAGGGGCCGGGGAAUCCGCAAGGCGCGUCGUGAUGGGGAUUGAACGUUGCAAUUGUUGUUCACGAACGAGGAAUUCCUAGUAGGCGCGGGUCAUCAACCCGCGCCGAUUACGUCCCUGCC
rnacentral:rRNA from 1 species